AUCGAGGAGGCUGAGCAGGGUCGGGCCUGGUUGUACUUGGGAUGGGAGAAAGGCCACGGCUUGGGUGAGAUGCACCUCAAAAUGACAUCUUCCAUCUUCACAGGGUUAUCUUUGAUCC
rnacentral:miRNA from 1 species